GUAAUAUAUCGGAACGUGCCCAGUCGUGGGGGAUAACGUAGCGAAAGUUACGCUAAUACCGCAUACGAUCUACGGAUGAAAGCGGGGGACCGUAAGGCCUCGCGCGAUUGGAGCGGCUGAUAUCAGAUUAGGUAGUUGGUGGGGUAAAGGCUCACCAAGCCAACGAUCUGUAGCUGGUCUGAGAGGACGACCAGCCACACUGGAACUGAGACACGGUCCAGACUCCUACGGGAGGCAGCAGUGGGGAAUUUUGGACAAUGGACGCAAGUCUGAUCCAGCCAUUCCGCGUGCAGGAUGAAGGCCCUCGGGUUGUAAACUGCUUUUGUACGGAACGAAGAGGUCUCUAUUAAUACUAGGGGCUCAUGACGGUACCGUAAGAAUAAGCACCGGCUAACUACGUGCCAGCAGCCGCGGUAAUACGUAGGGUGCAAGCGUUAAUCGGAAUUACUGGGCGUAAAGCGUGCGCAGGCGGUUAUGUAAGACAGAGGUGAAAUCCCCGGGCUCAACCUGGGAACUGCCUUUGUGACUGCAUAGCUAGAGUACGGUAGAGGGGGAUGGAAUUCCGCGUGUAGCAGUGAAAUGCGUAGAUAUGCGGAGGAACACCGAUGGCGAAGGCAAUCCCCUGGACCUGUACUGACGCUCAUGCA
rnacentral:rRNA from 1 species